UUGCCUGAUUGCCCUAGCCAGAACUUCCAACACUAUGUUGAAUAGGAGUGGUGAGAGAGGGCAUCCCUGUCUUGUGCUAGUUUUCAAAGGGAAUUUUUCCAGUUUUUGCCCAUUCAGUAUGAUAUUGGCUGUGGGUUUGUCAUAUAGCUCUUAUUAUUUUGAGGUACGUUCCAUCAAUACCGAAUUUAUUGAGCGUUUUUAGCAUGAAGGGCUGUUGAAUUUUGUCAAAAGCCUUUUCUGCAUCAAUUGAGAUAAUCAUGUGGUUCUUGUCUUUGGUUCUGUUUAUAUGCUGGAUUAUGUUUAUUGAUUUGCGAAUGUUGAACCAGCCUUGCAUCCCAGGGAUGAAGCCCACUUGAUCAUGGUGGAUAAGCUUUUGAUGUGUUGCUGAAUCCGGUUUGCCAGUAUUUUAUUGAGGAUUUUUGCAUCGAUGUUCAUCAGGGAUAUUGGUCUAAAAUUCUCUUUUUUAGUUGUGUCUCUGCCAGGCUUUGGUAUCAGGAUGAUGUUGGCCUCAUAAAAUGAGUUAGGGAGGAUUCCCUCUUUUUCUAUUGAUUGGAAUAGUUUCAGAAGGAAUGGUACCAACUCCUCUUUGUACCUCUGGUAGAAUUCGGCUGUGAAUCCAUCUGGUCCUGGACUUUUUUUGGUUGGUAGGCUAUUAAUUGUUGCCUCAAUUUCAGAGCCUGCUAUUGGUCUAUUCAGGGAUUCAACUUCUUCCUGGUUUAGUCUUGGAAGAGUGUAAGUGUCCAGGAAAUUAUCCAUUUCUUCUAGAUUUUCCAGUUUAUUUGCGUAGAGGUGUUUAUAGUAUUCUCUGAUGGUAGUUUGUAUUUCUGUGGGGUCGGUGGUGAUAUCCCCUUGAUCAUUUUUAAUUGCAUCGAUUUGAUUCUUCUCUCUUUUCUUCUUUAUUAGUCUGGCUAGUGGUCUGUCAAUUUUGUUGAUCUUUUCAAAAACCAACUCCUGGAUUCAUUGAUUUUUUGGAGGGUUUUUGUGUGUCUAUCUCCUUCAGUUCUGCUCUGAUCUUAGUUAUUUCUUGCCUUCUGCUAGCUUUCGAAUGUGUUUGCUCUUGCUUCUCUAGUUCUUUUAAUUGCGAUGUUAGAGUGUCAAUUUUACAUCUUUCCUGCUUUCUCUUGUGGGCAUUUAGUGCUAUAAAUUUCCCUCUACACACUGCUUUAAAUGUGUCCCAGAGAUUCUGGUAUGAUGUAUCUUUGUUCUCAUUGGUUUCCAAGAACAUCUUUAUUUCUGCCUUCAUUUCGUUAUGUACCCAGUAGUCAUUCAGGAGCAGGUUGUUCAGUUUCCAUGUAGUUGAGCGGUUUUGAGUGAGUUUCUUAGUCCUGAGUUCUAGUUUGAUUGCACUGUGGUCUGAGAGACAGUUUGUUAUAAUUUCUGUUCUUGUACAUUUGCUGAGGAGUGCUUUACUUCCAAUUACAUGGUCAAUUUUGGAGUAAGUAUGAUGUGGUGCUGAGAAGAAUGUAUAUUCUGUUGAUU
rnacentral:lncRNA from 1 species